UUAAGCAAUCUACUCCUGAAAUCAUUGUUGCACCAUAUGCUAACUAAUUUGGAUGUAAAUUUUAAAAAAUUAAAAUUAACAUAAAAAAGAUUUAAAAAAAAAAGAUGAGGCUACUGUCACCUCAGUUGUCACAGGUAGGGCAGGUAAAGGACAGUUACAGGAGACAUUAUGUGAAAAGCCACAAGGCUGUUAGAGAGUAGCUUCCAAUGUUACUUACCUUCCAUGCAGAAAUCCUGUAUUUUUAUGGGGUGCUUGUACAGCUGUCAGUGUUUCCACCAUGUGGGAAGAGGAGAAGCAUGGAAAAACCAAUCCGUAUACAAACCUCAGUCCCAAAUUUCAGUCAUGGUUUCCAGCAUCUUCCCCAUAAAGUUUCUCCCAGAGGCAUCACGAGCUGGCAACAUUGUUAGAUCUCCACCUUAUCUCUCCAUCUUCAGUUAAUAAGUUGGCUGGCCCUGAGCAAGCCGGUUUGGCAGUCACUCCUUCCGGUUGUAUAAUGAAGAUGGCACUAGUCUGGGGGCACAGGGGUCCCUUAGAGUGUGGACCUUUCAUGAUCCUCUCCCGAUAACUCUGUUCCUUCUGCUGUGCUCGUAAGUGGGGCAGCAGGAGAGUAAAGCUGUCAUUGGCUGGAGCUCUGCCUCCGGAGCUGGACAGACCAGGCUUAGCUGUAGGCCCUGUCUGGGCUCAGACCGCCUCCCUCUCUGAUGGAGGUUGGUUGAGACCGAGCAUUAGACCAAGUGAGUGUGUAAUGCUCGGUUAGCGUGGUGCCUGCCUCAGAGCAGGUGCUCACUGUAUGGUAGGUAGCAUGGAGAAAAACAAGGUCAAAGUCAAAAGGGGGACGAAGAAGACGGUACCUCUAUCAACCGAACCUCCAUACGGAGACAGGCUUGAAUAGAAUCAGAGUAAACAUUGUGUCACGGACUUGGGACGGGAUGGGGACCCGGGUUCCGUCUCAGCAGUGUAAACCGAGGAGAAAACCGGGAGACUGUCAACAUUCGUGUAAAAAUAUAAUGUAUCAUAAAGACAGCAUGAACCGGAAGUAGGUCUUCUGAAUGUGGAUACAGCUGCUGGCAUGAGCAGUGACCUCCCGCCCACUAUGUAGAGGACAAGGACAGUGCCCGGGCCCCGGACCCGAUGACCAACUUGGGAAGAAGCCCACAUGUCUCAGCAGCCGGAGGGUGGCCGAGUGCAGAAUGUGACCCUUGUUUAGUUAAGGAGCAGACAGGAGGCAGACUGAUGUGGGAAGAAUUUGUCCGUGAAGGCUUCUUACUUUUCUGUAGAGAGAGGACUUCAACAGUGAAGACAGAAAGCUAUCAAUUCUUUUUCCCUCAAAGCAGAGGAGGAUGCACUUUUAAGACAUGUUUUCCUAACUGUCCCUUCCAAGUACUGGAUCUGAAGUCCCUUCCCUGCUCCCUGUUAAUUGGGAACACUUUUAUUAGGGUCAUAGCUCAGGGAAUGUCCAGUCACCCAGCCAGUAACUGACGGCUGCAAGGGACAAUUCUCUCAGGCCCUGGCUCCACGCGGGGCCUGCCAGCGAGGCAUGAGGCGCAGCUGUACUGUUAGGGGAGUGAGAGACGGGGCCCACAGACCCCCUUCCGUCACAAGCACAUCUGUUUCCCACCAAGUGGGCCCGGCCCUGGGGGUUCUUUUUCAAAGCCCGCCUUUUUAUUGGGGCUCUCUCCUAUUUUAUAGGGCGGCGGCUCUGCUUAGCUGCGAGCCGCCUGUCUCCCCGGCACUGGCUCUCCACCCACAGAACCAUCUCAUGCUUCCAGAGAGGCUGCUCUGUUGGGCAGUAGAAUGGAUUUUGUUUUCUAUUUUAAUCCCCAAAGGGAUGGGGAAGAGCGCAAAUAAAUGACUGCCCUGAAACCGUUGGUUGGAUUUUCUUGUCCAAUGUGCUUUACAGCAAAAGGUUGGAGAACCUUGUUUUAUCUUAGAAGCGACAAGUGGGGAAAAUGGAUUAUAGAGAACUUUAAAGAGAAUCCAGUGAGUUCUGACAUGCCUGAGACAACGAAGCAUUUUGCUUUGAAGUUUCAGGACACAAAGGGGGGCUGAGCCCCAGGAAGCUGACCCUGGUCAGAAUGCUUGAGGCAAAGGGCAUGAGUCCCAAGCUGGUCACACACAACCGUUACUCGACUAGGAAGUCCUGUCAUGGGGAACACUGGUCAUUAUUUAUGUCUCUGCUGGCUACUUGCUCUCUGUGGAAGCUCCAUGAUGAGUUGCACGACGUCAAGAAAAAAAAAUAAGGUCUGGGGGGAAAUAUACACAUACAGUAACAGGGUGAGAAGGGCUGGACGACUCCUAAUAUUCACUAGAGCUUUCCUGAAAGUGAGGUUGGGUAGGAAAAGAGUCAUUCAUUCUAUGGCUCGGCCCACUGGCCAGCUGGAUUCUGAGCACACUGGCUUGCUCAAGGUCAGCGGCUGGCUUUCGGUUGUCCCACGGCGCACAUGGCUGUGCUGGGGCCGUCCCAGUGACUCAGUCCCAGCAACUCCAGUGCCUGGCCAGGAAACAGUCUUCUCCGCAAAUGUACCCAACCGAGAGCUGAUCACCGGAACCUCUGUCAUGUUCCAUCAACUCCAGAACCAUCUUCUGGUCCAGUAACUUUCCAUGAAAUGGGACCAAAUUUAGAAAGGUGUGGGCCUCUCACCCACCAAAGGUGGAGAUGGGAUUUGUGAAGUCAGUACUUAUUCUGUUGAGGAAUAAGGGAAAGAAACUAAAUUAUAAAUGCAAUGUCAGGGGCAUGGUCUUGGAAGGGGCUUGGGCAGGGCAGAGGCUCUUGCAACUUCACGGUAAGUUAUCUCUGCCCCCGGCCAUGGGUUGUCAGCAGAGAGCAAUUAGGCUAUUUGUUGCAGACUUAUCCCUCGGGCAUAGCAUCACAGCAGAAAGGGACGAUGGCCCCCGGUGGCCUGACAAGGCUCUGGUUCCCCCAACAACUAAGGCUGCUCUGAGAAUCUCUGUUAGAAGGCAAGACAAAGAAGACAUGUGUCCCAGGCCCUUCAAGGGCAAAUCGUGCUCCCCUGGUGACAAUUUUCUUGCAGCCUUGGCUCCCUCAGGGGCUAGCAGAGCACCGGGCACACAGCCAACACAUGGUUGCAUGCAAGCUGAAGUGAAACCUUAAAUUGAAGGAGAAACCCAGAUCCCCAAGUAGGAUUGAAAUUCCCAAACUGGUUUCAGAGGAAAGGUGGAAUUUCCCCUCUCUACCCAGGAGAUCAGUGUCUUCUUGCUUGCUUGGGAUGGGAUGACAAAUCUCUCCUCAUCUGUCAAGGAUGGGAGUUUCUCUGGGUGGUCUCCAGGGCCCAGGAGCCCAUAGGUCUAGACCCGCUGGCAGAUUGGGAUUUUUCUCUCUAGAGAGGCUGGUGCCAGAGGGACCUGCGCACUUAAUCCUGCUUGCAUUCCUCCACCCCCCACCACAGUAUAUCCUUGGCUUUUUUUGCUAAGGUUGGCGGGGGAUGACAGGACUGCGAGCCGGGCAGCGUUGGGUGCUCAGUGUGGAAGGAAACCUCUCUGCAGGGUGAGAUUUUGUCUGGCAGAGGAUCAGAAGAGUGAUCCCCAUGGAUGUGGGAAGACGAGUGUCCACACUGGGACACAGACCCCGUGAGAUACUGUGCCGGAAAAAAAAGGGUUCCAGGGCCAGAUAGGUUUGGGAAGUAGCAUUCUACAUCCUUCGCUUGGAAAUUUGUGAUGUAUGUCAGGGCAUUCAAGUCUGAAAAGUCUCUCCAAGCGAAGCAAAAGAACUUUAAUUUCCGAGAAUGUGCCUGGUCACAGAACCUUUGCUCCGUGUGACGCCUGGGCGCCUUGGGAGGUGCCAUGGUGACACUGGAGCUGAGGAAGGAACUACCGCACUGGACGGAGGGACAGAGUGGGUUGAAGCGUGCCUCGAUGGUAUGGAACUCUGCCCCCCUGUCCAAGGUGUGGGUCUUUGGAGAGAAUUUAGGGAGGAAGUGGGAAAGAAGGUGUGAAAAACAAAAAUCCUCAGGAAAUAAUGCAUGUCUUGCCUGGGCAAGAGAAAUGGGGAAAUAGAGGCUCACUGUGUGAGGUUAAGAAAAGGGAGUCUAUGGGGGACUGAGAACCUGUUAAGAUCUGUUAUCACGAUAGGCGUUCAGAGAAUAGAGGUUAUUACAAUUAGCGUAUCAAGGAUAUACCUAAAAUGUUACUAUGAUUCUUGAUUGCGUUGUUACCAUGAAUGGUAAUACUAAGAUGUCUCUAAUGCUUAUUGUCUGCCAAGUGAUUGAAACCUCCUUUGGUUCUCAGAACACCUCUGCUGUAUGACGGGCCUUGAUAAUAUUCCCUCUGUGGAUGAGGAAACCGUGCCGCCCUGGGCCUUGCAGAUCCAAGGGCCAUCUUACGAGGACACUCCUGUUACGCCCGUGCCUCCUCAGCCAUCUGCCUUCUCGUGCUGGGCUCACCUGCUCACCCUUCCUUCUUCGAACUGCACCAGCCGCCUGCCUUGCUAAGAACAGUUACCCACGAUGUGAAAAUAAGGCAAAGGAGGAAUGCGUGUCCUUUCACUGCCGUGCUGGAGUUUGAUACGAAGGCUCUUCCAAGGAUUCUUCAACGAUGCGUACCCUCGCUUGGCUCACCGUUUGCUAUUGAUCGGGACCUGGAUCCUCUGGUUGCUUGGAGAUUCAUGCCGCCAGAUGGAGACACGAAUGAUUUCUGCCUGGUAGAAAAGAUGACCCCAAAGGGUAUGGUUAUGGAGGGACAUACACCAAUUUUGAAAAUCUAACCCAGUAGCUGUCUUAUCCCACAUUCUUCUUCAGUGGCUUUAACUCCAUACUUCAGAUGCUCCCUCAGUCAGCUUGUCUCCCUGCCUGUUCCUUCGUGAAUGAAUAAAAGGAAUCUUUGACGCGUU